GGAGUUUGGUCCGUGUCUCAGUACCAAUGUGGGGGACCUUCCUCUCAGAACCCCUACUGAUCGUCGCCUCGGUGGGCCGUUACCCCGCCGACAAGCUAAUCAGACGCAUCCCCAUCCCUUAGCGAUAAAUCUUUGGUAUUCGUCAGAUGUCCUCAAAAUACAACAUAGAGUAUUAAUCCGACUUUCGCCGGGCUGUGCCCUACUACGGGGAAGGUUGGAUACGCGUUACUCACCCGUGCGCCGGUCGCCAUCACAGAUAGCAAGCUACCUGCAUGCUGCCCCUCGACUUGCAUGUGUUAAGCCUGUAGCUAGCGUUCAUC
rnacentral:rRNA from 1 species